rnacentral:rRNA from 1 species
AUUGAACGCUGGCGGAAUGCUUUACACAUGCAAGUCGAACGGUAGAGGGGGCAACCCCUUGAGAGUGGCGAACGGGUGAGUAAUAUAUCGGAACGUGCCCAGUCGUGGGGAUAACGUAGCGAAAGUUACGCUAAUACCGCAUACGAUCUAAGGAUGAAAGCGGGGGACUCGCAAGAGCCUCGCGCGAUUGGAGCGGCCGAUAUCAGAUUAGGUAGUUGGUGGGGUAAAGGCUCACCAAGCCAACGAUCUGUAGCUGGUCUGAGAGGACGACCAGCCACACUGGAACUGAGACACGGUCCAGACUCCUACGGGAGGCAGCAGUGGGGAAUUUUGGACAAUGGACGCAAGUCUGAUCCAGCCAUUCCGCGUGCAGGAUGAAGGCCCUCGGGUUGUAAACUGCUUUUGUACGGAACGAAAGGUUUCUAUUAAUACUAGGAGCUCAUGACGGUACCGUAAGAAUAAGCACCGGCUAACUACGUAGCCAGCAGCCGCGGU